AGGUCCUCAGGCCGAAAGGGGCUUUUGCCCGCCCGAGGAUGGGCCGGCGGCCGAUUAGGUAGUUGGUGGGGUAACGGCCCACCAAGCCGAAGAUCGGUACGGGCUGUGAGAGCAGGAGCCCGGAGAUGGACACUGAGACACGGGUCCAGGCCCUACGGGGCGCAGCAGGCGCGAAACCUCCGCAAUGCGGGAAACCGCGACGGGGGGACCCCGAGUGCCGUGGCACCGCCACGGCUUUUCCGGAGUGUAAAAAGCUCCGGGAAUAAGGGCUGGGCAAGGCCGGUGGCAGCCGCCGCGGUAAUACCGGCGGCCCGAGUGGUGGCCGCUAUUAUUGGGCCUAAAGCGUCCGUAGCCGGGCCCGUAAGUCCCUGGCGAAAUCCCACGGCUCAACCGUGGGGCUUGCUGGGGAUACUGCGGGCCUUGGGACCGGGAGAGGCGGGGGGUACCCCUGGGGUAGGGGUGAAAUCCUAUAAUCCCAGGGGGACCGCCAGUGGCGAAGGCGCCCCGCUGGAACGGGUCCGACGGUGAGGGACGAAGGCCAGGGGAGCAAACCGGAUUAGAUACCCGGGUAGUCCUGGCUGUAAAGGAUGCGGGCUAGGUGUCGGGUGGGCUUCGAGCUCGCCCGGUGCCGUAAGGAAGCCGUUAAGCCCGCCGCCUGGGGAGUACGGCCGCAAGGCUGAAACUUAAAGGAAUUGGCGGGGGAGCACUACCAGGGGUGGAGCGUGCGGUUUAAUUGGAUUUCACCCCGGGAACCUCACGGGGGC
rnacentral:rRNA from 1 species